AUAUAUAUAACUCCAUUAAUAAAACAAGAAUUUCCAACCAAUCACUAAAAACACGCCACUCUUCCGACCUAAACUCAAAAUAGGAAAGGCUGGCCCAAACUUAAUUCCUCUAAUUAUUCCUAUAAGGUCCAAAACUUUAGUCCCUUUCAACAUUUCGUUGGCUAAAACUUGGCCCCAAAACUUGCAGCACCAAAAUUAAAAUAAGUUUCUUUCAUUCCUCUCGGUACUCUCUCUAUCUAUCUAUCUAUCUAUCUAUCUAUCUCAAUCCCAAAUUAAAAUCCCAAAACAGGAACUCAAGUCUUCUUCCUAAAACAGAGACUCUCUUUCUCUCCCUCUAAACUCUCUCACGCCUACUCUCCCUUCGAUCCUGCACCAGUUGCCAUCGUCGCUGUCGGUCUCGAUCCAGCCGCCACAGCUCGCUGUCGUCGCGGAAGCUCCAGGUGUCGCCGCUCUCUCCGGCCGAGCAGCAGCUGUCCCUCCUCCGUCUCUACCCUUCUCUCUUUCUCUCCGGUAGAGCACGAUGAUUCAGAAUUAUCCUAAGUGAAUGCAAGGAAUUGAUCGAUGAUUACCUUCUUAGGCGGCAGAAAACUCUCUUCUCCAACUCGGUUCUUUCUCUAUAUUUUUUCAAGGUUUCUGAAAGGUGGGAGACGUGUGGGGGUGUAUAUAUAUAGAUAUACACAGGUGAAAUUGUUACUGAAUGCCUCCUAAUUCUCAGGGAAGAGACUUGAAUGGAAGAUUUGAGUAGAUUUGAGCAUAUCUACGGUUGGUCUCA